GACGAACGCUGGCGGCGUGCUUAACACAUGCAAGUCGAACGGUAAGGCCCUUCGGGGUACACGAGUGGCGAACGGGUGAGUAACACGUGGUGGUCUGCCCUGGACUUCGGGGUAAGCCCGGGGAACUGGGUCUAAUACCGGGUAGGACCCCGGGAUGCAUGGCCCGGGGGGGGAAGCCUUUGCGGGGGGGGAUGGGCCCGCGGCCUAUCAGGUUGUUGGGGGGGUGGUGGCCUACCAAGGCGACGACGGGUAGCCGGCCUGAGAGGGUGACCGGCCACACUGGGACUGAGAUACGGCCCGGGCUCCUACGGGAGGCAGCAGUGGGGAAUAUUGCACAAUGGGCGCAAGCCUGAUGCAGUGACGCCGCGUGAGGGAUGACGGCCUUCGGGUUGUAAACCUCUUUCAGCACCGACGAAGCGCAAGUGACGGUAGGUGCAGAGGAAGGACCGGCCAACUACGUGCCAGCAGCCGCCGUAA
rnacentral:rRNA from 1 species